AUUGAACCAUUGUGGUUUCAUUUUCCCUGAUUUUGAUUUUUCUUAUGGGGAACCUGUGUGGCUGCAUUCAAGGUAUGUUCAUACUGGCCUGUCAAAUGCGAUCUUUUCAAAUUACUAGUUAAUGCUUUCAAAAUAUGUUAUUUAAAAAAUUAGCCUCUGUAUUUUCCAUAUGCAGUUAUAAAUAUGUUUCAUGAUUAUGUUUUAUUCCUCAAUUUAUAUAUUUGAUUAUUGUACCAAGCAGAGUAUCUUUGAAAUUUUUCUUCAUUUAAAAAAUAUGUAUCUUGACUCAGGCCUGUAAUCCCAGCACUUUGGGAGGCCAAGGCAAGAGGAUCACAAGGUGAGGAGAUCAAGACCAUCCUGGCCAUUACAGUGAAACCCUGUCUCUACUACAAAUACAAAAAAUUAGCCAGGCAUGGUGGCAGCUGGUGUAGUCCCAGUGUGAAUUGGGAUUCAGUUUAUUCAGUUUAUUCCCAAAUUCCAAAUUAUAUAUAUAUAUAUAUAAUUUCCUUUUACAUCCUGCAUCCUUCAACGUUCCAUCCCCCACCCCACAGAUUAAGUUAUUCCCCAGGGGAGAAUAUGGCAAAGUCUAUUUUAAUGCAGUUUUUAACCCAAUUAAGAACCUAUGAAAUCAUUACUUUCCAAAACUUUGGAACAAAGCCACAGUAGUAUGGAUCCGUUGGAGGCUUUUCACACAAUAAAAUGUACAUCUCUUUGUUUUUAACAUGUUUUUCCCUUCCUCUCUUCUUUUUUUGUGAAAUGUGUAUUUACUUUAAUAUAUUUGUAGUAAGUCACUUCCAUGCACAUAUUAAUUUUUUAAAGUAAUAAGUAUGUGUAUUGUCUACGUGUGAAAGAAAACACACAUUUAUUUUUAUGCCUUGGAAGUUAUCCAGAAUCAUGGAAUUGUCAAUCACAGUCAAUCACCCAACCUACUCACCUUUCCAGUGUAAUCUUAGUCAAAUUUUUUUUUUGUUAUCCAAUGAGAUGCAGUAUUUCAACUCAGAAAGAUAAAUAGAGUGAAUUUAUAGAGACUAUUAACUAAGAACAUACAGUUUUAUUUAUACUCAGAAGCAAGUAGAUUAUGUACAUAUAUAUGAAGAUAAAAAUUAAAAGGAUAAUUGUGUAAAUUUGCAUGUAGAGGGCUUUGAAAACCUGUUUACUUGUUAAUGCUGUUUUGAUGUAUUGUGUCUUUGUUCUCCCGACCCAUCGUCCAGAGCUCUCUGCAGGAGCUAAGUGCUCAUCAGUUCCAUGACUUGGAAACUGUCUAAGUUUAGAGGCACUUGUAUUUGUUAGUAAAUAAGGCAAGAUGAUAUUGUUUCACAGGUUUUAGUGCCGAAGACUGAAUAGAUAAGCUGCUCCACCCAGUACACUGGUGUUCAUUUCAUGGUCAUCUCAUCUGUUAACCAUGGAUAUAAAACAUUUAUCUUCAAUGAUGGGGUUUUACCAUGUUGGUCAGGCUGGUCUCGAACUCCUGACCUCAAAUGAUCCACCCACCUCCACCUUCCAAACUGCUGGGAUUACAGGUGUGAGCCACUAUGCCUGACUGAUUAUUUUCAUAACCAAGAAAAGAAAUAAAUACAAUUAAUGCUGGUGCAUGGUAUUAAAUCUAGUUUUUAAAAAAUUCACACAUAAACAAGGCAGAACCCUAUACCCUCCAUGAUAAAUGCAGUAGCAGUGUAUGUGGGUCUGUGGAGGUUGAAAGGGACUUGGUAGAUGUCAAGAAGGUAGUGGCAGUCCUGCUGGGCUUUUAAAGGGUCUGAAGAAGUGACAGGAUGCUGUGGUUGAAUCCUAGCAUGUAUUUUAGCAUUUGUUCAUUUGGAGUUGAUUAUUUCACGUUGCUUUCAUUUGCCAUUACCUGGAAAGCCAAGGGCUCUACUCUCAUUUCCUUGCUGCUCUUUCUUUGCCUUCCUUGGUCCGUGAAGAAGAUGGUCCAGGAGAAGCUCAUUCCAUGCUUGUUAACCAGGCACGCCCCUAAGUUCCAGUCCCUGAGUCAUUCAUGAGUAGCACUGCCAAUGAACUGACAGCCAUGCUGUGUCCCUCCACAUCCCCUAGGUGACUCGAAGAAGCCUUCCAAAAAGCGUGUGAAAAGGAAGCCCUACUCUACUACCAAGGUAAAGUAGCCUGUCUUUGCCUAAGAUGUAAAUGUUGUUUUCUUGGAUCCUUUAUUUUUCAGUUGAUAUCAGCUAUGGGAAAAUUCUCCACUACAUUAUAGGUGUUAGAUAAUAUUUCCUUGGGGAUGGAGGAGGUGUAUUUUACCAACUGACACCUGAUUCCAGAGGACGUGCAAAAUUGGCAGUGUCAGAUAGUACACUGGGUGUUAAGGGAUGUUUUCUUCAGGAACAAGCUUUCCACUUUAGAUAAGAAUUCUGCAAUUGCUACUCAAAAAUUACCUAGACAGAAAACCCAGCACAACUCUCAGUGCCAUGUUUCUUAAUUUAACAAAUCAGACCACAUACUUUACUUACAUUAGUUCACACCUCAUCAUCAUCAUGCCCAUAUGUUGUGAGCUUGUUUAUUGAGCCCACAUGCCAGAUGGAGAAACUAAGCCACAUAAAUAAAUGUGCCCUGGUUCACUUGCUGCAUAGUGAAGAGUCAAAAUGUUUACUCAAACGGUGCUAAUGUUGAAGGCCUGAACUACAACCUCUAUUUAUCAGCCAGUGAAGAGAUCACUAUUCACCAUGCAAGGGAGUUCCAGCACCCUCUAUGCCUGGAAUUACCCACGCCUGCAGAGAUCCCAAACGCCAUCCCUCACAUAAGACAGCCUCAUGAUCUCAUAAUCCAGGUAGCUAUGUAGACAUCUUCCUGCAGGUGUCACAUAGUCCUUAGUGUGAAACCAACAUAGAAAGCCCAUGUUUCUGAUCAAAUCACAGGUUCUGAAACACUAAGGGAGGCACUAAGUAGGACAACGUGGUGCCUGCGUGUCAUAGCUGGGUCUCCUCAAGACAUGGAUCAAGUCCAGUAAGAAUUGGGGAGAUGCUUUAGAGUCUUGAUGGAGUUAUCACCACAAGCCCUCUGAGCUACACACUUUAGGGAUCAUGACCAUUAAGUACUCAAAUUACCAUUUGGUUGUUAUCCGGGUAUCCGUCGUCCUUGUGGCAACCCUCUUGUGAAGCUGGUGUGGACAGCCUCAGUGCUGGAGCUGUGCCUGCCUUCUGAGUGGACCCUUUCUGUGUUAGCAGGUGGGUACAAGCGUGGGGGUCAGCACACUCAGUGGAUUUACACACACAGCGUUGAAGAGUAAGGCUGGGCUUCGUUAUUUAUACAUUUUCAAUAAAUGAUGAUCUUCAUAACAUAAAAUCAAUGAUGUAGUACACUAGAAUACUGUCCCUAGUAUUGAAUCUUGUCUCUCAGCAAAGGGUGUACAAUUAAAUGAAAUGGCUAGUAUAGUCUUGAAACCAAAUCCAGAUAAGGUAAAUUAAAUUCUGUGAUAUUUUAAAAUACUUUAAAUUCUGACUAAUGUGAGUUAAUCUCAACAUAUGAAAUAGUAGAUUAACAUUGAAAAUGCAAUAAAUAAAAUUAGCUACCUCAAGAGUUUAAUGGAAAAAAAUGUGAUUAUUGCAAUAGAUUCAGGAAAUUCAUGAAUAACAUUCACCCUAUAUUUGUAGGACAACUAUCUGAUUAACUUUAAGUGACCUGUGACAACCACUUGAAUUAAUGCUGCUUUCACAGCAUAUCUCUUGGCUUGUUAAAAACCCGACAAGAAUUUCCGUAACAUUAUUUUUAACACCUAUAUUGGGUGUGAACCCACCAUAAAGUUUGCCCACUGAAAAGGUCUAGAAUUUGAUGCUUUAU
rnacentral:lncRNA from 10 species